AUGCAAUGAGGGUACUUCCAUAAUAAUUCUUUAUACCUUUCCCAUGCCUCAUACAAGGACUCAUCAUCCAUUUGCUAGAAAGUAAUAAUCUCAUUCCUCAUCUU
rfam:Gossypium raimondii chromosome 11, whole genome shotgun sequence.